AUAUGCUUGUCUCAAAGAUUAAGCCAUGCAUGUCUAAGUAUAAGCAACUAUACGGUGAAACUGCGAAUGGCUCAUUAAAUCAGUUAUCGUUUAUUUGAUAGUACCUUACUACAUGGAUAACCGUGGUAAUUCUAGAGCUAAUACAUGCUAAAAACCUCGACUUCGGAAGGGGUGUAUUUAUUAGAUAAAAAACCAAUGCCCUUCGGGGCUCCUUGGUGAAUCAUAAUAACUUAACGAAUCGCAUGGCCUUGCGCCGGCGAUGGUUCAUUCAAAUUUCUGCCCUAUCAACUUUCGAUGGUAGGAUAGUGGCCUACCAUGGUAUCAACGGGUAACGGGGAAUUAGGGUUCGACUCCGGAGAGGGAGCCUGAGAAACGGCUACCACAUCCAAGGAAGGCAGCAGGCGCGCAAAUUACCCAAUCCCGACACGGGGAGGUAGUGACAAUAAAUACUGAUACAGGGCUCUUUUGGGUCUUGUAAUUGGAAUGAGUACAAUUUAAAUCCCUUAACGAGGAACAAUUGGAGGGCAAGUCUGGUGCCAGCAGCCGCGGUAAUUCCAGCUCCAAUAGCGUAUAUUAAAGUUGUUGCAGUUAAAAAGCUCGUAGUUGAACCUUGGGCCUGGCUGGCCGGUCCGCCUCACCGCGUGUACUGGUCCGGCCGGGCCUUUCCUUCUGGGGAACCUCAUGCCCUUCACUGGGCGUGUUGGGGAACCAGGACUUUUACUUUGAAAAAAUUAGAGUGUUCAAAGCAGGCCUUUGCUCGAAUACAUUAGCAUGGAAUAAUAGAAUAGGACGUGUGGUUCUAUUUUGUUGGUUUCUAGGACCGCCGUAAUGAUUAAUAGGGAUAGUCGGGGGCAUCAGUAUUCAAUCGUCAGAGGUGAAAUUCUUGGGAUUGAUUGAAGACUAACUACUGCGAAAGCAUUUGCCAAGGAUGUUUUCAUUAAUCAGUGAACGAAAGUUAGGGGAUCGAAGACGAUCAGAUACCGUCGUAGUCUUAA
rnacentral:rRNA from 1 species